UCAAAAUAAGUUGGAUUAUAU
rnacentral:miRNA from 1 species